CCUUUGUGACUUAUACCUUACUGUUGCCUCGGCGCUAGCUGGUCCUUCGGGGCCCCUCACCCUCGGGUGUUGAGACAGCCCGCCGGCGGCCAACCCAACUCUUGUUUUUACACUGAAACUCUGAGAAUAAAACAUAAAUGAAUCAAAACUUUCAACAACGGAUCUCUUGGUUCUGGCAUCGAUGAAGAACGCAGCGAAAUGCGAUAAGUAAUGUGAAUUGCAGAAUUCAGUGAAUCAUCGAAUCUUUGAACGCACAUUGCGCCCUCUGGUAUUCCGGAGGGCAUGCCUGUUCGAGCGUCAUUUCAACCCUCAAGCCUGGCUUGGUGAUGGGGCACUGCUUUUACCCAAGAGCAGGCCCUGAAAUUCAGUGGCGAGCUCGCCAGGACCCCGAGCGCAGUAGUUAAACCCUCGCUCUGGAAGGCCCUGGCGGUGCCCUGCCGUUAAACCCCCAACUUCUGAAAAUUUGACCUCGGAUCAGGUAGGAAUACCCGCUGAACUUAAGCAUAUC
rnacentral:rRNA from 1 species